rnacentral:tRNA from 1 species
GUUGCUGUUGCCGAGUGGUUAAGGCGAUAGACUUGAAAUCUUUUUGGGAUUUUCCCGCGCAGGUUCGAAUCCUGCCGACAACG